AUUGAACGCUGGCGGCAUGCCUUACACAUGCGAGUCGAACGGUAACGGGCCUUCGGGUGCCGACGAGUGGCGAACGGGUGAGUAAUACAUCGGAACGUGCCCGAUCGUGGGGGAUAACGAGGCGAAAGCUUUGCUAAUACCGCAUACGAUCUACGGAUGAAAGCAGGGGACCGCAAGGCCUUGCGCGGACGGAGCGGCCGAUGGCAGAUUAGGUAGUUGGUGGGAUAAAAGCUUACCAAGCCGACGAUCUGUAGCUGGUCUGAGAGGAUGAUCAGCCACACUGGGACUGAGACACGGCCCAGACUCCUACGGGAGGCAGCAGUGGGGAAUUUUGGACAAUGGGCGCAAGCCUGAUCCAGCCAUGCCGCGUGCAGGAUGAAGGCCUUCGGGUUGUAAACUGCUUUUGUACGGAACGAAAAGCCUUCUUUUAAUACAGGAGGGUCAUGACGGUACCGUAAGAAUAAGCACCGGCUAACUACGUG
rnacentral:rRNA from 1 species